AAGAGAGGGGAUUCAUAGUUAGUUGGGAUGGUGGUGGCACGACAGGCAUUGCUGGGUUUCGACGGUAGUGGCGGUGCUGAUGGUGGUGGUAGUGGUGGCACCGACGGUGGUAGCCCAGGAGAAGGCCAAAAGAAGCAAAAAAUAGGGAUCAAAAUGGUUUCAAAUAAAUCUAAAAAAAUAUGGCUCGGGUCCAAGAAGAAUGGAAGGGGA
rnacentral:lncRNA from 1 species